UCCUCUGUGGCGCAAUUGGCUAGCGCGUCUGACUGUUAUCAUUAAGACAAUCAGGAGGUGUAAGUACCACGUUCAGGGCGCAUCAGAUCAUAAUCUAACAUUGCACAGUGGAAGUUCGAGCCUUCCCGGAGGAG
rfam:Cyphellophora europaea CBS 101466 unplaced genomic scaffold supercont1.1, whole genome shotgun sequence.